CUUGGCGACCACAGCGUUUUGGACCCAGCGGACUCCAUGCCGACCUCAGAAGUGAAACGUAAUAGCGCCGAUGGUAGUGUGGGGUUUCCCCCUGUGAGAGUAGGACUUCGCCAGGC
rnacentral:rRNA from 1 species